GAUCCUAGCUUGCUAGGAGGCGUCGACCGGCGGACGGGUGAGUAACACGUUAGAAUCUGCCCAUUAGAGGGGGAUAACCUGGGGAAACCCAGGCUAAUACCGCAUAAUCCCUACGGGGCAAAGCAGGGGAUCUUCGGACCUUGUGCUGAUGGAUGAGCUCGCGUCGGAUUAGCUUGUUGGUGAGGUAAUGGCUCACCAAGGCGACGAUCCGUAGCUGGUCUUAGAGGAUGAUCAGCCACACCGGGACUGAGACACGGCCCGGACUCCUACGGGAGGCAGCAGUGGGGAAUCUUGGACAAUGGGGGCAACCCUGAUCCAGCCAUGCCGCGUGUGUGAAGAAGGCCUUCGGGUUGUAAAGCACUUUCAGUAGGGAGGAAGGCUUAUCCUUAAUACGGAUGAGUACUUGACGUUACCUACAGAAGAAGCACCGGC
rnacentral:rRNA from 1 species